GUUUUAAUAAUUUAAAAAAAAUAUUGGUCUUGUAAACCAAAAUUAAGGCCUAUCCUUUUAAAACA
rnacentral:tRNA from 1 species